GAAUAUGAGGCCCUCCUGUAUGGGUUGCGCAUGGCCAUUUCACUCGGCGUCCGUCGCCUAAUGGUCUAUGGCGACUCGGAUUUAGUGGUCAAUCAGGUGAUGAAAGAGUGGGACGUGAGAAGCCCAGCCAUGACUGGAUACUGCAAUGCAGUGAGGAAGCUGGAGAAAAAGUUCGAGGGGUUGGAGCUCCAUCAUAUACCCCGACUGAAGAAUCAAGCAGCUGAUGAUCUAGCAAAGAUAGGUUCCAAGAGAGAAGCCAUUCCGAGUGGCGUGUUCUUGGAGCAUAUACAUACUCCGUCAGUCAAAGAAGACCCUUUCACAGAAGGAACUCCGCAGCCUAAGAGCGCCACAGAUCCGACUGAAGUGGAAGUCCCAGCAGUGGUCGACUUGGUCAUGGAGGUUUUGGUGGUCGUUCCCAACUGGACUAUUCCGUACGUCGCAUAUAUCUUGAGGAAAGAGCUUCCGGAGAAUGAGGAAGAGGCUCGACAGAUCGUCCGUCGAUCUAAAGCCUUUACCGUAAUCAAAGGACAAUUAUACAGAGAAAGUGCGACUGGAGUAGGCCAGAAGUGCAUAACGCCAGAAGAAGGUCGACUCAUCCUCAAUGAUAUUCACUCAGGGACCUGUGGUCACCAUGCGUCCUCUCGGACCAUCGUGGCCAAGGCAUACCGAGCCGGAUUUUACUGGCCCAAGGCGAAUGAGAUGGCAAAGGAGAUAGUGGAUAAGUGCGAGGGAUGUCAGUUCUACUCGAACAUGUCGCACAAGCCUGCGUCAGCUUUGAAGACCAUCCCACUCGUCUGGCCUUUUGCGGUUUGGGGGCUGGACAUGGUCGGCCCUUUGAGAACAGGACGAAGUGGCUUCACACAUGUACUGGUGGCAGUCGACAAGUUCACCAAGUGGAUCGAGGCUAAGCCAAUCAAGAGCCUCGAC
rnacentral:rRNA from 1 species